GACGAACGCUGGCGGCGUGCUUAACACAUGCAAGUCGAACGGAAAGGCCCUGCUUUUGUGGGGUGCUCGAGUGGCGAACGGGUGAGUAACACGUGAGUAACCUGCCCUUGACUUUGGGAUAACUUCAGGAAACUGGGGCUCAUACCGGAUAGGAGCUCCUGCUGCAUGGUGGGCGUUGGAAAGUUUCGGCGGUUGGGGAUGGACUCGCGGCUUAUCAGCUUGUUGGUGGGGUAGUGGCUUACCAAGGCUUUGACGGGUAGCCGGCCUGAGAGGGUGACCGGCGACAUUGGGACUGAGAUACGGCCCAGACUCCUACGGGAGGCAGCAGUGGGGAAUAUUGCACAAUGGGCGGAAGCCUGAUGCAGCAACGCCGCGUGCGGGAUGACGGCCUUCUGGUUGUAAACCGCUUUCGCCUGUGACGAAGCGUGAGUGACGGUAAUGGGUAAAGAAGCACCGGCUAACUACGUG
rnacentral:rRNA from 1 species